AAACCAACAGGGAUUGCCUCAGUAACGGCGAGUGAAGCGGCAAAAGCUCAAAUUUGAAAUCUAGCACCUUCGGUGUUCGAGUUGUAAUUUGAAGAUGGUAACCUUGGGUUUGGCUCUUGUCUAUGUUCCUUGGAACAGGACGUCAUAGAGGGUGAGAAUCCCGUCUGAUGAGAUGCCCAUUCCUAUGUAAGGUGCUAUCGAAGAGUCGAGUUGUUUGGGAAUGCAGCUCUAAGUGGGUGGUAAAUUCCAUCUAAAGCUAAAUAUUGGCGAGAGACCGAUAGCGAACAAGUACAGUGAUGGAAAGAUGAAAAGAACUUUGAAAAGAGAGUGAAAAAGUACGUGAAAUUGUUGAAAGGGAAGGGCAUUAGAUCAGACUUGGUGUUUUACGAUUAUCUUCUCUUCUUGAGUUGUGCACUCGUAUUUCACUGGGCCAGCAUCGAUUCGGAUGGCAAGAUAAUGGCAGUUGAAUGUGGCUUCACUUCGGUGGAGUGUUAUAGCUUCUGCUGAUAUUGCCUGUCUGGAUCGAGGGCUGCGUCUUUUGACUAGGAUGCUGGCGUAAUGAUCUAAUGCCG
rnacentral:rRNA from 1 species